CCUACGGGCGGCAGCAGUGAGGAAUAUUGGUCAAUGGGCGAGAGCCUGAACCAGCCAAGUCGCGUGAAGGAUGAAUGAUCUAUGGUUUGUAAACUUCUUUUAUAUAGGAAUAAAGUGAGGAACGUGUUCCUUUUUGUAUGUACCUUAUGAAUAAGCAUCGGCUAACUCCGUGCCAGCAGCCGCGGUAAUACGGAGGAUGCGAGCGUUAUCCGGAUUUAUUGGGUUUAAAGGGUGCGUAGGUGGUUAGUUAAGUCAGCGGUGAAAGUUUGUGGCUCAACCAUAAAAUUGCCGUUGAUACUGGUAGACUUGAGUACAUUUGAGGUAGGCGGAAUGCGUGGUGUAGCGGUGAAAUGCAUAGAUAUCACGAAGAACUCCGAUUGCGAAGGCAGCUUACUAAACUAUAACUGACACUGAAGCACGAAAGCGUGGGGAUCAAACAGGAUUAGAUACCCCAGUAGUC
rnacentral:rRNA from 1 species